rnacentral:sRNA from 1 species
GUUCGCACUCAUCGGGGAAGGGUGAGAACCUUCGACUAAGGUUCGAUUCGAGCGAAAGCGAGAGAACGUUGCCACAGGCAA